rnacentral:rRNA from 1 species
AGAGUUUGAUCAUGGCUCAGAACGUACGCUGGCGGCACGCCUAACACAUGCAAGUCGAACGAAGUAGCAAUACUUAGUGGCAGACGGGUGAGUAACAUGUAGGUAUCUGCCCUUUGGCCUGGAAUAACACGAGGAAACUUGUGCUAAUACCGGAUAAGUCUUUACGGAGAAAGCUUUAUGCACCAUUGGAUGAGCCUGCACUUGAUUAGUUUGUUGGUGGGGUAAUGGCCUACCAAGACUGUGAUCAAUAGCUGAUUUGAGAGGAUGAUCAGCCACAUUGGGACUGAGACACGGCCCAAACUCCUACGGGAGGCAGCAGUGGGGAAUCUUGCACAAUGGAGGAAACUCUGAUGCAGCGAUGCCGCGUGAGUGAAGAAGGCCUUUGGGUUGUAAAGCUCUUUCGUCGGGGAAGAAAAUGACCGUACCCGAAUAAGAAGGUCCGGCUAACUUCGUGCCAGCAGCCGCGGUAAUACGAAGGGACCUAGCGUAGUUCGGAAUUACUGGGCUUAAAGAGUUCGUAGGUGGUUGAAAAAGUUGGUGGUGAAAUCCCAGAGCUUAACUCUGGAACUGCCAUCAAAACUUUUCAGCUAGAGUAUGAUAGAGGAAAGCAGAAUUUCUAGUGUAGAGGUGAAAUUCGUAGAUAUUAGAAAGAAUACCAAUUGCGAAGGCAGCUUUCUGGAUCAUUACUGACACUGAGGAACGAAAGCAUGGGUAGCGAAGAGGAUUAGAUACCCUCGUAGUCCAUGCCGUAAACGAUGUGUGUUAGACGUUGGAAAUUUAUUUUCAGUGUCGCAGCGAAAGCGAUAAACACACCGCCUGGGGAGUACGACCGCAAGGUCAAAACUCAAAUGAAUUGACGGGGACCCGCACAAGUAGUGGAGCAUGUGGUUUAAUUCGAAGAUACGCGCAGAACCUUACCAACACUUGACAUGUUCGUCGCGACUUUAAGAGAUUAAAGUUUUCGGUUCGGCCGGACGAAACACAGGUGCUGCAUGGCUGUCGUCAGCUCGUGUCGUGAGAUGUUGGGUUAAGUCCCGCAACGAGCGCAACCCUCACUUUUAGUUGCCAUCAUUUAGUUGGGCACUCUGAAAGAACUGCCAGUGAUAAGCUGGAGGAAGGUGGGGAUGACGUCAAGUCCUCAUGGCCCUUACGUGUUGGGCUACACACGUGCUACAAUGGUAUCUACAACAGGAAGCGAAACAGCGAUGUUAAGCAAAUCCUUAAAAGAUACCUCAGUUCGGAUUGCACUCUGCAACUCGAGUGCAUGAAGCUGGAAUUACUAGUAAUCGUGGAUCAGCGUGCCACGGUGAA